CUGAAGAGGCUCAAAAAGGGAGGAGAGGAAGGCUUGUUUUCUUCACAAGCUAUUAAUGUCGCUGUAGCUUCAAACGCCGGGUGACCUUUAAAUGCCGAGCCUCCUGCUCCCGCCCAAGGCUCGGAAACGGCUUAAUGGAUACUCAGCCCCAACGGUCACAGCUGCUGGGACGACAACAAAGCCUGCCUCAUUCCCAGAGCCCCCAGAACUGCAGGGCAGCUACACCUGUGCCAUUCCCUAACCCUGGCGCAGCAACCGGAGCAAGAGGCCAGGCUGCAAUCCGGAGAGCAUGUGCAAACAGAGAAAUCACCCACUUCUUAUCUCUCAGUGGCAGCAAGUAACAAAAGCAACGGUACAAGGCCACCACCUUGAUUUCUUUUUAGUUUAUUCAUUAAUUUUUGUUUGUUUUUUGAGACAGGGUUUAUUUGUAUAACAGCCCUGGCUGUCCUGGAACUCUCUUUGUAGAUCAGGCUAGCCUCAA